UGCGUAGGUGGCGGGGUAAGUUUGAUGUGAAAGCUCAGGGCUUAACCCUGAAAUGGCAUUGAAUACUACUCUGCUGGAGGUUUGGGAGGGGGGACUGGAAUUCUUGGUGUAGCAGUGAAAUGCGUAGAUAUCAAGAGGAACACCAGUGGCGAAGGCGAGUCCCUGGACAACACCUGACACUGAGGCACGAAAGCUAGGGGAGCAAACA
rnacentral:rRNA from 1 species